GACGAACGCUGGCGGCGUGCUUAACACAUGCAAGUCGAACGGAAAGGCCCUUCGGGGUACUCGAGUGGCGAACGGGUGAGUAACACGUGGGUGAUCUGCCCUGCACUUUGGGAUAAGCCUGGGAAACUGGGUCUAAUACCGAAUAGGACCACGCGCUUCAUGGUGUGUGGUGGAAAGCUUUUGCGGUGUGGGAUGGGCCCGCGGCCUACCAGCUUGUUGGUGGGGUAAUGGCCUACCAAGGCGACGACGGGUAGCCGGCCUGAGGGGGUGACCGGCCACACUGGGACUGAGAUACGGCCCAGACUCCUACGGGAGGCAGCAGUGGGGAAUAUUGCACAAUGGGCGCAAGCCUGAUGCAGCGACGCCGCGUGAGGGAUGACGGCCUUCGGGUUGUAAACCUCUUUCACCAGGGACGAAGCGUAAGUGACGGUACCUGGAGAAGAAGCACCGGCCAACUACGUG
rnacentral:rRNA from 1 species